rnacentral:rRNA from 1 species
CCCGCGGCAAGACGGAAAGACCCCGUGAACCUUUACUAUAGCUUGACACUGAACAUUGAGCCUUGAUGUGUAGGAUAGGUGGGAGGCUUUGAAGUGUGGACGCCAGUCUGCAUGGAGCCGACCUUGAAAUACCACCCUUUAAUGUUUGAUGUUCUAACGUUGGCCCGUAAUCCGGGUUGCGGACAGUGUCUGGUGGGUAGUUUGACUGGGGCGGUCUCCUCCUAAAGAGUAACGGAGGAGCACGAAGGUUGGCUAAUCCUGGUCGGACAUCAGGAGGUUAGUGCAAUGGCAUAAGCCAGCUUGACUGCGAGCGUGACGGCGCGAGCAGGUGCGAAAGCAGGUCAUAGUGAUCCGGUGGUUCUGAAUGGAAGGGCCAUCGCUCAACGGAUAAAAGGUACUCCGGGGAUAACAGGCUGAUACCGCCCAAGAGUUCAUAUCGACGGCGGUGUUUGGCACCUCGAUGUCGGCUCAUCACAUCCUGGGGCUGAAGUAGGUCCCAAGGGUAUGGCUGUUCGCCAUUUAAAGUGGUACGCGAGCUGGGUUUAGAACGUCGUGAGACAGUUCGGUCCCUAUCUGCCGUGGGCGCUGGAGAACUGAGGGGGGCUGCUCCUAGUACGAGAGGACCGGAGUGGACGCAUCACUGGUGUUCGGGUUGUCAUGCCAAUGGCACUGCCCGGUAGCUAAAUGCGGAAGAGAUAAGUGCUGAAAGCAUCUAAGCACGAAACUUGCCCCGAGAUGAGUUCUCCCUGAGACUUAGAGU